rnacentral:lncRNA from 1 species
ACCGCAUCCGCUGCUCCGCGGACCCCUGCUGCUUCUAGGCUCUCCAUAUACGCUCUGGAAAUGGUUCAUCUCAAAUUCUGAAGGUAACAGUGUCACUACAAAUUCUGAAAAUAACACUAUAACUUUGUAAACGAUUCAUCUCAAUAAGCAAGUAGGACUCAACCAAGUACAUAAUUUAAGCCAAUACAACAUAUCAAAGCAUCAAAGCAUAAGUAAGAAAUAGACGGAGGGAGAAGGGAGGGAAGAUACCACCACAGGAACCAAAUCGAAGCACCAUACUCCCAAGAACUGCCUGGCUGCAGCAAGCCCUUAUUGUCAUGGCGCAGAUAAGAUAUUCUUGCUUAUGGCACACCACACCACGUGCACUACCAG